rnacentral:rRNA from 1 species
UACGGAGGAUGCGAGCGUUAUCCGGAUUUAUUGGGUUUAAAGGGUGCGUAGGCGGUCCGUUAAGUCAGCGGUAAAAUUGCGGGGCUCAACCCCGUCGAGCCGUUGAAACUGGCAGACUUGAGUUGGCGAGAAGUACGCGGAAUGCGCGGUGUAGCGGUGAAGUGCAUAGAUAUCGCGCAGAACUCCGAUUGCGAAGGCAGCGUACCGGCGCCAGACUGACGCUGAGGCACGAAAGCGUGGGGAUCGAACAGG